AAAGAAGUAGCACUGGAAUAUAAAAUUUUCUUUUUAAUUCUCAGCAAGGCAAGUUACUUCUAUAGAAGGGUGCACCCUUACAGAUGAAGCAAUGGUGAGUGAAUACUUGGACAAGGGAGGGGAGGGGGUUAUUAUCCCUGACGCAUGUGGCCCCUGCUGCUGUCUAGUUCUGCUACUGGCUAGGGUUAGACCGCACAGGCUAAACUAAUUCCAAUUGGUUAAUUUAAAGAGAGAGAUGGGGUGAGUGGUUUGGCAGGAAAAAUGAUUAUGCAGGUUGGAGAAUGAGUCAGGAUGGAGCAGGUAGCAGGUAAUUGGAAUGAGUCAGGGUGGGGCAGGUGAUUCAAAUGAGUCAGGGUGGAGCCAGUGAUUGAAUUGAGUCAUGGUGGAGCAGGUAAUCGAAAAAGGUUGCUUUAUGAGGAAGUUAAGUUUAAAAGUACAAGGCAAAGAUUUGAACAUACUGACAUAUUGAUUCUUUGAAAUGAAAUUUAGAACUCAUAUCUGACAUUACCCAAUCCACUCCCGACAUUAGAAAAAGCUCCAAAAGUUAUAUUCUGGCCCUCAAACUCCACAACAGGACUUAAUUAAACUUGCCUUCAAGGUAUACAAUAAUAGAGAAGAGGCAGUGAAGCGGCAACAUAUUUCUGAGUUGAAAUUACUUGCCUCCGCUGUGAGAGAAACCCCAGCCACAUCUCCAGCACACAAGAACUUCAGAAUGCCUAAACCGCAGCAGCCAGGUGUUCCUCCAGGGCCUCCUCCCCCAGGAUCUUGCUUCAAGUGCCAGAAAUCUGGCCACUAGGCCAAGGAAUGCCUGCAGCCCAUGAUUCUUCCUAAGUCGUGUCCCAUCUGGGCGGGACGCCACUGGAAAUUGGAUGGUCCAACUUGUCUGGCAGCCACUCCCAGAGCCCCUGGAACUCUGGCCCAAGGCUCUCUGAUUGACUCCUUCCCAGAUCUUCUUGGCUUAGCAGCUGAAGACUGAUGCAGCCCAAUUGCCUUGGAAGCACCCUGGACCACUAUAGAUGCUUCAGUGGAGGACAGGAAUGUCAGACUUCUGAGCCCAAGCUAAGCUGUCAUAACCCCGUAUCCUGCACCUAUAUAUCCAGAUGGCCUGAAGCAACUGAAGAACCAAAAAAGAAGGGAAAUAAUCAGUUCUUGCCUUAACUAAUGACAUUCCACCAUUGUGAUUUGUUCCUGCCACAACCUAACUGAUCAAUUGACCUUGUGACAUUCCCUCUCCUGGACAGUGAAUCUCAGGAGCUCCCCACUAAGCACCUUGUUGUCCCCACCCCUGCCAGCAAGAGAAAACCCCCUUUAAUGAUAAUUUUCCACUACCUACCCAAAUCCAAUAAAACUGCCCCACCCCUAUCUCCCUUUGCUGACUCCUUUUUUGGACUCAGUCCACCUGCACCCAGGCUAUUAAAAAGCUUUAUUGCUAAUGCAAAGCCUGUUUGAUAUUCUCUUCACACAGACACAAGUAACAGAGAGGGGGUCAUAUCUAGCCUUCCUUGCUCCCCAGGGUACUCCUGCAGAAGAGGCUGCAUCUCUGCCCAUUGAGCACCCACCAGCAUGGGCUGCAAGUGGAAGCUUCUCCCACUUCUUCAGUGGCCGCAACCCCACCAAAGGUGAGGAUGUGCUGGAGGAGGGAGCUUUUUGCACUUCUCUGUUGCUCUGGCCCUCACUGAGGAUGAGCACUCACAGAAUAAGAGCCUACCCACUGGCUCUUACUCUUAAGCGCUAUCUACUGGACUAAUUAAUGAAUUACACCACCAAACAAAAGUGUAACACUGCAAUAAGCAACAUCUGAAAAAGCCACCAAAUGGACCUAUCUGCAACUGAGGAACCCAUACAGAGACUUCGCCCUCUGAAAACAUCCAGAAAUGAAGACAACUGAUCAUACGCAACAUAAAUCACACUCAUACUUUCAAGGAAAAGAAUAAUAAAAGAAAAGCCUCAUCCAAUGAUAUUCAAAAAAAUAAAAAAAGAAGCAGCAGAUCCUUCAGAUAAGAACCAGCACAAGAAUUCCAGCAAUACAAAAAGCCAGUGUUUCGUCACACCCAAAGGCGCCUAAGAAUCCUAACCAGAAUGAAAUGCCUGAAAUGACAGAUGUAGAAUUCAGAAUAUGGCUGACAAGAAAACUCAACAAGAUCUAACAGAAAGUUGAUAUCUAACAAAAAGAAAAUAGAAAAAAAUAAUCCAGGAUUUGAAAUAUGAUAUAGCUAUACUAAAACAAACAAACAAAACAGAAUUUCUGGAAUUGGAAAAUUUACUAUAGGAAUUUCAAAAUAAAAAUUGGAAGCCUUACCAACAGACUAGAUAAAGCAGAAGAAUUUCAAAGAUCAAAUACUGGUCCUUCAAAUCAACCCAGUGAAACAAAAAUAAAGAAAAAAAUAAUUUUAGAAAAUGAACAAAGCCUUUAGGAAGUAGAGGAUUAUGUAAAGUGACAAAAUCUACAACAUAUUGGCAUUCCUGAAGAGAAGAAGAGAAAGUAACUUGGAAAACAUGCUUGAGGAUGUAAUUCAGUAACAUUUCAUCAAGUCCUCGAAAGCAAACGCAACAAAAACAAAAGUUGACAAUUGGGAUCUAACUAAAGAACUUCUGCAGAGCAACAGAGACUAUCAACAGCAUAAACUGACAACCUACAGAAUGGGAGAAAAUACUUGCAAAUUCUGCCUCUGACAAAGGACUAAUAUCCAGAAGCUAUAGGGAACUUAAACCAAUCAACAACAAAAACCCAUUAAAAGUAGGCAAAGGACAUGAACAGACACUGCUCAAAAGAAGACAUACAAGUGGCCAAAAAGCAUGAAAAAACACUUAACGUCAUAAAUUAUCAGAGAGAGGCAAAUCAAAACCACAAUGAGAUGCUAUCUCACACCAGUGGGAAUGGCAUCACUAAAAAGUCAAAAAACAACAGACAUUAGUGAGGGUGCAAAGAAAAGGGAACAUUUAUACACUGUUGGUGGGAAUGCUAAUUAGUUUAGUCCCUGUGGAAAGUAGGAGAUUUCUCAAAGAACCAAAAAUAGAAUUACCAUUCAACCCAGAAAUCCAAUUACUGGGUACAUACCAAAAGGAAAAUAAAUAAUUCUACCAAAAAGACAAAUGCUCUCACAUGUUUAUCACAGCACUGUUUCACAAUUCCAAAGACAUGGAAUCAACCUAGGUACCCAUCACUGGUGGACUGGGUAAAGAAAAUAUGGUACAUAUACACCAUGGAAUACUACACAGCCAUGAAAAAGAAUGAAAUAAUGUCAUUUGCAGCAACAUAGAUGCAGCUGGAGGGCAUUAUCCUAAGUGAAUUAAUGCAAAACAGAAAAUCAAACACUGCAUUUUCUCCCUUGGAUGAGAUUUGCAUAUUUGGCCAUCAUUAAGCAAGCUCACUAACAACCUAGGGAAAGUCAUUGCAAGCCAGUAUUCAAUGGGAGUACCAUGGUUGACAGUGUCAUGAUUAAAAAUGUAACCAUAAUUAAAUAGUACUAGAGAAAUGUAGAUGCAAGAAAAUCUACAUUAAGUAUACCUUCCAAAGAGCAAUAGCAUUGCAAAGUAAUAACAGUGUUGUACCAUUUCCUUGUGUUGAAGCAUAUGAAAUAUCCAGGCAUGGCAUAUUUGAAAUUAAACAUAAGUGGAAUAUAUUACAAUAAAGAAAACAAAGAGGUGGCUCCUGGACCUCAACAGAAAGAGAUGCUGUUGUGAAAUUAUGCAGACACUUCAUGUGCAUAGAUUACAAAAGAAAUAGUACAUAUGCACCUUUCCUCUACUCAUUAUCUAAUUUUUCAUAGAUAAAUAAAUCACUGUAUCACCCAUAAGCCCAUGAAUGGUAUAAUACAUUUUUGUUUUAGUCAGUCAAAAUUAAUUUAGCUGUAAUUAUGUUUAUCAUAUGUAUACGUUCCAAACUUUUAUGCUCUGCUUCCUCUUAAAUGCUUUGCCACAUAGAAAUUUAUUCUGCCAGAUACCCUAAAUAAUCUCUCUCAGGUUCAAAGUAACACAGAUCUCUAGGGCAAGGGCAAAAUGCUACCAGUCUCUUUGCAUAGCAAGAGUGACCUUUACUCCAGUUUCCAAUAAGUUAUUCAUUUCCAUCUGAGACCACCUCAGCCUGGACUUCAUUGUCCAUAUCACUAUCAGCAUUUUGAUCAGAGCUAUUCAACAAGUCUCUAGGAAGUUCCAAACAUUCCCACAUCUUCUUGUCUUCUGAGCCCUCCAAGUCUCUAGGAAGGUCCAAGCUUUCCCACAUUUUCCUGUCUUCUUCUGAAAGACAGAAGCCCUCCAAAUUGUUCCAACCUUUGUCUGUUAUCCAGUUCCAAAGUCGCUUCCACAUUUUGUGUAUCCUUACAGCAACACCCACUGUCUCCUAGUACCUGUUUACUGUAUUAGUCCAUUCUCAUGCUUCUAUAAAGAACUGCCUGAGACUGGGUAAUUUACAAAGGAAAGAGGUUUAAUUGACUAACAGCUCCACAGGGGUGGGGAGGCCUCAGUAAACUUACAAUCAUGGAGGAAAGGGAAGCAAACACAUCCUUCUUCAAAUAGCAGCAGGAAGGAGAAGUACCAAGCAAAGGGGAAAAAGCUCCAUAUAAAACCGUCAGAUUUCAUGAGAACUCACUCACUAUCAUGAGAACAGCAUGGGGGUCACUGCCCCCAUGAUUCAGUUACCUCCCACUGGGUCACUCCCAUGACAUGUUGGGAUUAUGGGAACUAAAAUUCAAGAUGAGAUUUGGGUGGGGACACCGCCAAAUCAUAUCAAUGUGCGAAUGGUGGAAAAGUAGAGGAACAAUUCAUGAAAAAGUCCAAGUUAUAUUCUGAAGAGGGAGUACUGUGUAUGCUUACAUUAGAAUAAGUAGUACAAACUCUAACUGAAUUUAAAUAUCUUGAUGUGGUCUGGAGCAGUUAGUGAAAGUCUCAGGAGACAGUAGAAGUCUCAAGAAAGGGUAUUAUAUAACAUUUAAAAAAUUAUGUUUCUGAAUAUCUACAAAGAUUAUUUUAUUAAUGGAAUUUGGCCUUCUGGGUAUCUUUGUUAUUCCUUAUGCUUCAUAAAUUCUCUAUCAUAUUUGAUAGUUUUGUUCAAUCCCACCACUAAAAGUUUAUCUCCUAGCUUUAGUAACGGUGUAUUAUUUUGUACUUCUCCUUCUUUGGCAUCUAUCAUCCUAGUUUUCAGAUCUAACCUGUAAGAGUUCUGUUUCUAUUUUGGUUUUCUUCUUUAUUCAUUUCUCGCUUCAGUAAUCUCAUCCUUUCUUUCUUUCUGAUGAUCAUCACUUCCAGGCAGAUGACUACUGUGUGUAUAUUUAUUUACUUAUUGUUUUGUUUGUGAUAUAAUUUGGAUCUGUGUCCCCACCCACAUCUCAUGUUUGAUUGUAAUUCUCAAUGUUGUAGGUGGGGGCUGGUAGGAGGUGAUUGGAUCAUGGGGGCAAACUUCUCAUGAUCAGUUUAGUACCAUACCUCUUGGUACUGUCCUCAUGAUAGUGAGUGAGUUCUCAUGAGAUCUGGUCAUUUAAAAAGUAUGUAGCUCCUCCUCCUCACUCUCUUGCUCCUGCUUUCACCAUGUGGUAUGCUUGCUCUUGCUUCGCCUUCCACCAUGAGUAAAAACUCCCUGAGGUUUCCCCAAGAAGAUGCUGGUGCCAUGAUUCCUGUACAGCCUCCACAGCUAAAAGCCAAUUAAACCUAUUUUCUUUAUAAAUUACCCAGUCAGAUUUUUUUAUAACUCUGAGAGAAUGGACUAACACAGUUUGUUGGGUAAUUUUUGUUGUUGUUUUUAAUUUUUUUCUUAAAAUUUUAUUUUUUUUAAAGUUCAAUAGUUUUAGGGACAAGAGUGGUUUUUGGUUACAUAGAUGAAUUGUAUAAGUGAGAGCAUGAGGUAUCUGGUUUUUGAUUCCUGAGUUACUUCACCUAAAAUAAUGACCUCCAGUUCCAUUCAAGUUGCUGCAGAUGACAUUAUUUCAUUCUUUUUUAUGGCUGAGUAGUAUCCCAU
rnacentral:lncRNA from 10 species